AGCGAACGCUGGCGGCAUGCCUAACACAUGCAAGUCGCACGGGGGGGCUUCGGCCUCCCAGUGGCGGACGGGUGAGGAACGCGUAGGGACCUGUCGAGGGGUGGGGGAUAACCGCGGGAAACUGCGGCUAAUACCGCAUGACGCCGCGGCGUGACAGCCGGGGCCAAAGGCGAAAGCCGCCCGCCGAGGGGCCUGCGUCCGAUUAGCUGGUUGGCGGGGUAGCGGCCCACCAAGGCGUCGAUCGGUAGCUGGUCUGAGAGGGUGAUCAGCCACACCGGGACUGAGACACGGCCCGGACUCCUACGGGAGGCAGCAGUGGGGAAUAUUGGACAAUGGGCGCAAGCCUGAUCCAGCAAUGCCGCGUGGGUGAAGAAGGUCUUAGGAUUGUAAAGCCCUUUCGGCGGGGACGAUGGUGACGGUACCCGCAGAAGAAGCCCCGGCUAACUUCGU
rnacentral:rRNA from 1 species